AUGGAUGAUUGGCGAACGGGUGAGUAACACGUGAGUAACCUGCCCCUGACUUCGGGAUAAGCCCGGGAAACUGGGUCUAAUACCGGAUACGACUGCCGGACGCAUGUCUGGUGGUGGAAAGUUUUUUCGGUUGGGGAUGGGCUCGCGGCCUAUCAGUUUGUUGGUGAGGUAAUGGCUCACCAAGACGACGACGGGUAGCCGGCCUGAGAGGGCGACCGGCCACACUGGGACUGAGACACGGCCCAGACUCCUACGGGAGGCAGCAGUGGGGAAUAUUGCACAAUGGGGGAAACCCUGAUGCAGCGACGCAGCGUGCGGGAUGACGGCCUUCGGGUUGUAAACCGCUUUCAGCAGGGAAGAAGCGCAAGUGACGGUACCUGCAGAAGAAGUACCGGCUAACUACGUGCCAGCAGCCGCGGUAAUACGUAGGGUACGAGCGUUGUCCGGAAUUAUUGGGCGUAAAGAGCUCGUAGGUGGUUGGUCACGUCUGCUGUGGAAACGCAACGCUUAACGUUGCGCGUGCAGUGGGUACGGGCUGACUAGAGUGCAGUAGGGGAGUCUGGAAUUCCUGGUGUAGCGGUGAAAUGCGCAGAUAUCAGGAGGAACACCGGUGGCGAAGGCGGGACUCUGGGCUGUAACUGACACUGAGGAGCGAAAGCAUGGGGAGCGAACAGGAUUAGAUACCCUGGUAGUCCAUGCCGUAAACGUUGGGCACUAGGUGUGGGGGGCAUUCCACGUUCUCCGCGCCGUAGCUAACGCAUUAAGUGCCCCGCCUGGG
rnacentral:rRNA from 1 species